AAUAACCCAUGACCAGGGUAGAGUGUGAUGUGUCAGAGUAAUCAGACUUAUUUUUGUUGUUAACGGACUGAUCACAGAGGGGAGCAGAGGGAGCAGAGACGUUUUUAACACUUUAAGUUUAGUUUGUUUUUAAAAUAUGCAAGUCGCUGCUUUUACAAUGUUAUAUUAACAUUUUCUUUGUUAGCACAAAUUUUAAUAAAAUAAUGAAAAUCCCUCCUACGUUUCGUCGCCGUUGGCGCUCUUCCUGUUUCUGCUCUGGACUCUCUUGACCAAUCAACAUGAUGCAAAUGUACAUGAGAGGUAAACAGACUGCUGUAGUUUGGGGUUAACAGGGACAGACUGCUGUAGUUUGGAGUUAACAGGGACAGACUGCUGUAGUUUGGAGUUAACAGGGACAGACUUCUGUAGUUUGGGGUUAACAGGGACAGACUGCUGUAGUUUGGAGUUAACUGGGACAGACUGCUGUAGUUUGGGGUUAACAGGGACAGAGGUUAACAGGGACAGACUGCUGUAGUUUGGAGUUAACAGGGACAGACUGCUGUAGUUUGGAGUUAACAGGGACAGACUGCUGUAGUUUGGAGUUAACAGGGACAGACUUCUGUAGUUUGGGGUUAACAGGGACAGACUGCUGUAGUUUGGAGUUAACUGGGACAGACUGCUGUAGUUUGGGGUUAACAGGGACAGACUGCCUACUCAACUUUAAAACUCGUGUUUAUAUCGCUGUCUAAAAGCUCAGCAGUAAAUGUCCAAGUUGAUUUACAGUGGAAUGUCUGACUCGUGUCUUAUCUCUGACACUCCCCUGCAGAGUUCUGUCUCAGA